AGGAAUUGACGGAUAUUAUUUGUCCCAUAUGUUGCUAGUGUUGGGAUGACUCAAUGAUUUUAUGAUCUAGAGUGCAAUUCUAUACUAUGAAUUGUCACUCAUAUAUGAUAUAUGAGCCUAAAUUUUGAAACUAUUAUGAUGCCUCGAUGACCCGAAAGAAAUUGACGGAUAUUAUUUGUCCCAUAUGUUGCUAGUGUUGGGAUGCCUUAAUGAUUUUAUGAUCUUGAGUGCAAUUCUAUACUAUGAAUUGUCACUCAUAAAAGAUAUACGAGUCUAAAUUUUGAAACUAUUAUGAUGCCUCGAUGACACGAAAGGAAUUGACGGAUAUUAUUUGUCCCAUAUGUUGGCAAGUGUUGGGAUGCCUCAAUGAUUUUAUGAUCUUGAGUGCAAUUCUAUACUAUGAAUUGUCACUCAUAAUAUAUAUCAGCCUAAAUUUUGAAACUAUUAUGAUGCCUCGAUGACACGAAAGGAAUUGACGGAUAUUAUUUGUCCCAUAUGUCGGCAAGUGUUGGGAUGCCUCAAUGAUUUUAUGAUCUAGAGUGCAAUUAUAUACUAUGAAUUGUCACUCAUAUAUGAUAUAUGAGCCUAAAUUUUGAAACUAUUAUGAUGCCUCGAUGACCCGUAAGGAAUUGACGGAUAUUAUUUGUCCCAUAUGUUGCCAGUGUUGGGAUGCCUCAAUGAUUUUAUGAUCUUGAGUGCAAUUCUAUACUAUGAAUUGUCACUCAUAUAUGAUAUAUGAGCCUAAAUUUUGAAACUAUUAUGAUGCCUUGAUGAACCGAAAGGAAUUGACGGAUAUUAUUUGUCCCAUAUGUUGCCAGUGUUGGGAUGCCUCAAUGAUUUUAUGAAAUUUUGAAACUAUUAUGAUGCCUCGAUGACCUGAAAGGAAUUGACGGAUAUUAUUUGUUUCAUAUGUUGCUAGUGUGUUGUGAUGCCUCAGUGAUUUUAUGAUCUUGAGUGCAAUUCUAUAAUAUGAAUUGUGACUCAUAUAUGAUAUAUGAGCCUAAAUUUUAAACUAUCAUGAUGCCUCGAUGACCCGAAAGGAAUUGACGGAUAUUAUUUGUACCAUAUGUUGCAAGUGUUGGGAUGCCUCGGUGAUUUUAUGAUAUUGAUUGCAAUUCUAUAAUAUGAAUUGUCACUCAUAUAUGAUAUAUGAGCUUAAAUUUUGAAACUAUUAUGAUGUCUCGAUGACCUGAAAGGAAUUGACGGAUAUUAUUUGCCCCGUAUGUUGCAAGUGUUGGGAUGCCUCAGUGAUUUUAUGAUCUUGAGUGCAAUUCUAUAAUAUGAAUUGUGACUCAUAUAUGAUAUAUGAGCCUAGAUUUUGAAACUAUUAUGAUGCCUCGAUGACUCGAAAGGAAUUGAUGGAUGUUAUUUGUCCGAUAUGUUGCAAGUGUUGGGAUGCCUCAAUGAUUUUAUGAUCUUGAGUGCAAUUCUAUACCAUGAAUCGUCACUCAUAUAUGAUAUAUGAGCCUAAAUUUUGAAACUAUUAUGAUGCCUCGAUGACCCGAAAGAAAUUGACGGAUAUUAUUUGUCCCAUAUGUUGCAACUGUUGGGAUGCCUCAAUGAUUUUAUGAUCUAGAGUGCAAUUCUAUACUAUGAAUUGUCACUCAUAUAUGAUAUAUGAGCCUAAAUUUUGAAACGAUUAUGAUGCCUCGAUGACCCGAAAGGAAUUGACGGAUUUUAUUUGUCCCAUAUGUUGCAAGUGUUGGGAUGCCUCAAUGAUUUUAUGAUCUAGAGUGCAAUUCUAUACUAUGAAUUGUCACUCAUAUAUGAUAUAUGAGCCUAAAUUUUGAAACUAUUAUGAUGCCUCGAUGACCCGAAAGGAAUUGACGGAUUUUAUUUGUCCCAUAUGUUGCAAGUGUUGGGAUGGCUCAAUGAUUUUAUGAUCUAGAGUGCAAUUCUAUACUAUGAAUUGUCACUCAUAUAUGAUAUAUGAGCCUAAAUUUUGAAACUAUUAUGAUGCCUCGAUGACCUGAAAGGAAUUGACGGAUAUUAUUUGUCCCAUAUGUUGCCAGUGUUGGGAUGCCUCAAUGAUUUUAUGAUCUAGAGUGCAAUUCUAUACUAUGAAUUGUCACUCAUAUAUGAUAUAUGAGCCUAAAUUUUGAAACUAUUAUGAUGCCUCGAUGACCCGAAAGGAAUUGACGUAUUUUAUUUGUCCCAUAUGUUGCAAGUGUUGGGAUGCCUCAAUGAUUUUAUGAUCUAGAGUGCAAUUCUCUACUAUGAAUUGUCACUCAUAUAUGAUAUAUGAGCCUAAAUUUUGAAACUAUUAUGAUGCCUCGAUGACCCGAAAGGAAUUGACGGAUAUUAUUUGUCCCAUAUGUUGCAAGUGUUGGGAUGGCUCAAUGAUUUUAUGAUCUAGAGUGCAAUUCUAUACUAUGAAUUGUCACUCAUAUAUGAUAUAUGAGCCUAAAUUUUGAAACUAUUAUGAUGCCUCAAUGACCCGAAAGGAAUUGACGGAUAUUAUUUGUCCCAUAUGUUGCUAGUGUUGGGAUGCCUCAAUGAUUUUAUGAUCUUGAGUGGAAUUCUAUACUAUGAAUUGUCACUCAUAUAUGAUAUAUGAGCCUAAAUUUUGAAACUAUUAUGAUGCCUC
rnacentral:lncRNA from 1 species